rnacentral:lncRNA from 1 species
CAUACCCCUCCUUCUAACUGUGGAAGUCCACCUUACGACCCAAGUCCUCCAUCUCACACUCCAACUCCUUCUACUCCAUCUCACACUCCUUCAACUCCAUCUCACACUCCCUCAACUCCUUCUCAUACUCCAACUCCUUCGACUCCAUCUCACACACCAACUCCAUCACACACUAGUCCUCCUUGCCACUGUGGAACUCCACCUUCACACCCUUCCACACCUUCACGGCCUUCAAGGCCUUCACACCCAUCCAGGCCUUCACGCCCUUCCACGCCUUCAAAUCCUCCUUCUGGUGGAUACUACUCAUCUCCUCCACCAAGUACUCCUGUCGUUGUGACGCCACCAACACCCAUUGUUGACCCAGGCACACCCAGUACUGGAGGAACCCCUCCUUCUUCUGGUGGAUAUUACUCAUCUCCUCCACCAAGUACUCCAGUCGUUGAGACUCCACCAACACCUAUUGUUGACCCAGGCACACCCAUCGUUGGAGAAACCCCACCAACUCCUUCUUCUGGUGGAUAUUACUCAUCUCCUCCACCAAGUACUCCAGUCAUUGAGACUCCACCAACACCCAUUGUUGACCCAGGCACACCCAUCAUUGGAGGAACCCCACCAACUCCUUUCAUUGACCCUGGCACUCCUGGAACCCCCUUCCUUCCUGCUCCUUUUCCACCAAUCACUGGAACAUGCGAGUA